GACGAACGCUGGCGGCGUGCUUAACACAUGCAAGUCGAACGGAAAGGCCUCUUUCGGGGGGUACUCGAGUGGCGAACGGGUGAGUAACACGUGAGUAACCUGCCCUUGACUUUGGGAUAACUUCUGGAAACUGGGGCUAAUACCGGAUAGGGGCUCCUGCUGCAUGGUGGGGGUUGGAAAGUUUCGGCGGUUGGGGGUGGGCUCGCGGCUUAUCAGCAUGUUGGGGUGGUAGUGGCUUACCAAGGCGUUGACGGGGAGCCGGCCUGUGGGGGUGACCGGGCACAUUGAGACUGAGAGACGGCCCAGACUCCGACUGGUGGACGCAGGGGGGAAGAUUGCACCAUGGGUGCCAGCCGGAUGCAGCAGCGCUGUGGGCGGGAAGACGGCCUUGGUGUUGUAAACCGCUUUCGCUCAUGACGAAGCUUUGUGUGACGGUAGUGGGUAAAGAAGCACCGGCUAACUACGUG
rnacentral:rRNA from 1 species